rnacentral:rRNA from 1 species
UACGGGGGGGGCAAGCGUUGUUCGGAAUUACUGGGCGUAAAGGGCUCGUAGGUGGCCAACUAAGUCAGACGUGAAAUCCCUCGGCUUAACCGGGGAACUGCGUCUGAUACUGGAUGGCUUGAGAUUGGGAGAGGGAUGCGGAAUUCCAGGUGUAGCGGUGAAAUGCGUAGAUAUCUGGAGGAACACCGGUGGCGAAGGCGGCAUCCUGGACUAACACUGACACUGAGGAGCGAAAGCCAGGGGAGCAAACGGG